CGCCGCUCAGCCCGCCUCAGCGAUGUUCCGCGGGGACGGGAGCGACGGGCGGCGGCCGGGCCGAGGCGGGCCGGCUCUAGACUCGGGCCCCAGAGGAGCUGUGGGACCGCGGCUGCUACACCGAGUGCUACACCAGGCUGCAAAGAACAGAGGUACCGGUCUCAAUGGGGGCAGCGCUGCGGGGGGCGGCCGUCACGCGAGCAGCAUUUAUUUACCUGUGUGGGCAUGUGGGGACGCGCCGCGCCCCUCGGGGGCCGCCGGUACCGGGCGUCCCGCAUCACGCCUUGGAGCGUUGCCAGCCGGCGGCAGCACCGCGCAGCGCCCCGGGCCGGUCCGGAAGCGCUCGUUGUCUCCUGGAGGUCUGCGGAUCGGUGCCGCGCGGUGCUCGGGCGCUCUGCUUCUUGCGGUGCCGUUCAACGAACAGCGACAGGCGUGUAAGGAAUGGCACCCAUCCCAGAAAUCACUGCGAGUCACUUCAGAAUCUCUCUGGGGAUACCGCAGAGAAAAAAGCAGCUACUUAACAAUGAGCGAGGAUGCCCGUCUACACUGCUGUUACGGUCGCUAAUGGUUGUGUGCAAAGAGGUGCUGGCUGCUUCCCUGUAAGCGCAUACACAGCAUUUAGGAGGCUGGAGUAAGACGAUUUUCUGUGCUAUAAAUCCGAGACAGAUGGAUAUAAGGACAGGGCUUUUUUCGUCUUUUAUUCUCAAGUUUAUUAAUGAAGUGUAAAUUUGUCAGGUUGAGAUUAAAACAUACUAUAUUGAAUAGGCAACAUAAGAGUACCAUUAUUGUGAGACUAUGCAGAAUAUGAGCUAUGUUACGUUACAUUAAUAAACACCUGGUAGGGUUCCAUGCCUCAGAAUACCUUUAACAACAGAACAAAGUAAAGAAUGAAACAGCUGGCUCUGUGAGGAGCACGGCUGUGUAAGCAGGCCCACCUUCUGGCUCAUCCCUGACUGUUUUACCCAUUGCCAAAAUAAAUGCAACUAAUCAAAUUUCAACUGACUGAUGAUAAAACUGAAGACAUUUUACAUUAAAAUCCAAGAUGGGUAGUAGUCACUAAGUGAAACACAAUGAGAAGCCUUAACGCUUAAAGGACACUUAGGAAGAAAAACAACUUUCAGAGAUACCCUCUGAAGUGCUAAAUGCUGUCAUAUAGCUCCUGAUAGUGCAACUUGCUUAGACUUCAAUUAUAUAAUGCAUAUAGCUGGUACAGCAGCACACAGAGUAGAUCAACUUGUCUUCAGUUAUUUAAUCACAACUAUUUUCAGUGUGAUUCAAAUUGAAAUUGGUCAUAUAGAACACAUCUGAGAACUUGCAUAGAAAUUCCCUUCUCUGCUAACAGAGCGUUUUUGGGUAUACAGACUGAGUGUAUAUGAAAUAGAUCAUUUGAAAACUGAAACCUUCUCCAAUCUCUUCAAAGAUUUGUCUCCUCAUAUACAAUGCAAUGACAAUAAAGGGUAUUGCUGGCCAAUUGUGGAUCGGUGCUUGCUCUGUAACUUCUAGGACUGUGGUAUUUUAAUCAGACACAUUAUCUGCAGAUACUUUUUGAAAUACACAAGAAAAGGGCCUUAAAUCUCUUUAUAAUGCAGAUUAGAAGAAAGAAGGCAUUUCUGUUGGCAGAGCUGCACUGUGCCUCAGCCUGUCUUAGGAAGGAUAUUUCCUGUUUCUUCUCAGUGCCGUCACUUUUGUUUUCUUCAGAGAAGGACAAUGUUUCUGAUCCAAAUAUGCUACUCAGCCUCACAGGAGAGGUAUACUUUCUAAUGAAGCAUCAGUCCUUAUUUCUUCUUAUAAGUUGGUCACAGCUAAUAAAUCCAUCCAGUUUAAGAAUCAAAAAGUUCAGAACUGCUUAAUUUGUCUUCUUCAUACAGCAAAAUAUUUUCCAUUAGCUUCUUUUUUUGGUCAUUUAUUUUUAUUUUCCAGGAUGCCUCUCUGGCUAACGCUGAAAAACAAAAAAUUCCAAAUACUGAGGAAAAAAAAAAAUGCAUCUGUAUGUAAGGCACAGACAGCAAUUUUAAAUUAAAGAUCUGGUUUAGAAAAGAAACAGAGAAUAUUCUGUAGAUUUAUUGGUAAAUUCGUAAGCAAGGAGUAAGAACCCAAACUGUUGUAAAGACUUGGGUUAGAAGAGAAGCACGGACACUUUUGGCAAAGCACCUGGACCAUCACAUGCCAGAACGUUCUGCACCCACACUUCAGGUUUAUCUACAUUUACCUUGGGAUGAACUGGCGGAGUCAAGGUCUGCAUUUUUUGGUUGAAAUGUGCUGUGUGCAGUAGCAGCCAUUUCCAAGUUGUCAUCACUUCUGAUGCAUACUACGUUUCUUUCCCGGAGUCCAUUUGCUUUUGUUCUCUCCUUCAUCCUGCAGUCAGAGCUCGUAAUAUUUUCUGAAUUGUUAUAGUUGUUGCUGAAUAGCUCAUCUGUAGAUUUUUCUUCAGGGUUCCAGAUGAAACUCGUUGAUUCAUCUGAUUCACAAGGCACCCGAGACAUCUGUUCACAGUACGUGUCAGGUGGCACAACUCCUACUGAAGGUGUGCACUGACCGCCACUUGCCAGGAGUACUGGCUGUGUGCUAUCGUCUUUAUUCUGCCCUGCAGAAGGAGCGUCCACACUGAGGUUGGUUGUCUCAUCGUCAGUUUCUUCCGGAGUAUUCAUGGAAAACCCAGAAGUGCUGCCUCCUCCACAGAUGUAAUGCUCUCUCAAUUUAUUUUCAGCUGUUUCCAUAAUUUCCAGUACCUGUUUUUAACAACAAAAUCUGUGAAUGCAGAAUAAUCCUUAUGCCCCUUCUUACACACAUUGUCAACAGUCCAAAAAAGUUGGGAUGCAAAUGUAGCUUUCGACCUUGCUGUCAUGAAGGCUAAAUUCUCAGUCAGAUUGUUAAAAUAUUACCUCUGUUAUGUUAGAAUUCUUCUUUUUCAGACAAAGGCAGGUGGCUGAGGCAAAAUCAAUGGCAACCUCUUCCAGCAAAUGUCCUGCUUUCUUGUCCAGGUAUUUACAGCAUAUUUCCUUGGCAGCUAGCUUUUCCAAAUUCUUGUCUUUGGAGUGUGAGGUUUCUUUUGCUGUUUGGAUUUCAUCAGCAAUCAUAUCUUUCUUUUGAAAGGAGAAAGGUACAUUAGUGAAGACAAAAUUAAUACCGAUGUUUAAUUCCAUCUAAAUCACUGAGAACAGAAGUCUUCCCCUGUGCUUGUUAUUACUGCUCCUUAACGGCUGGUUUACAGACCUAAAAACUGUAAGUGAUCUCCCUUUGUACAAGUCACAGAAAUGUUGCUUUCACAGUAGAGAAAUAGCCAGAGAUUUUCUUUGCACGUGUCUGAUGUCAAAUUGCCUAAAGCAAACCCAGCUGCUCUAUGCUUAUAUCCACCUAAAGGAAUGAAAAAUCAUCAACGCUGUACAUAGCAGCAUUUUUGCACAGAACUUUUUCAAAUAUUUAUUAAAAGAAAUCAGAAACCUGGGAUCGUUUGUUUCCUGAAGCUGUUUGGACGUUGCUGAACUGUUUGGAAAUUAUACAUACAAAAACCACCAUCAUCCUCUUAAAGGCUUCAACAAUGUGGCAAACCAGAAGGAGUGCAUUGUAUAGAAGGAUUAUAGGUGGAGUCUGUUUUUAUGAAGAUGGUAUUAAUGGUAUUCAGUGAGCCUGGACAGUUCUGGCUGCUUGUGAAAGCAGUUUGUGUGGUUCUAAUGACAGCUUGGACAAAUUGGCCAGGAUACAAAUUCCAGACACCAAUGUAAUACUAAAUGCCUGAUAAACGUGGUAACGAGCAACUGCAGUUAGAGCCUACCCAGAUUCCCCACUCAGUCUGACUCAUAACACAUCUUCCUGGCACAUAAAAAACCUGCAGCAGCAUUUCAGCACAAAGUCUGAAAAUAAGGAUAUGCUUAAAACCGGUUAUGCUGCAGUGUCUCCUAACAUAAGCAAGGCCAGAGCUCAUGAGUCUGCUACGUGAUAUGGGAAUAUAUACUCAUGCCUAAAGAUGAUAAACCAUUGAUGUUAAUGGAACCAUAAUAUAACUUCUAAAAAAAUCUCUUCUUUAGGAUGUAUAAAGCAAACUGCAAGUAACAAACUGCAUUUCUAAAAAGUGUAAAUUCACUUCAUGACAGCAACCUCAUUCACUUGUGUCAGUGUUCAUUACUUCUGCUUUUCCUUACCAGAUAAAUAGGGCUCCUUCCUUCAUCCAGUGCCUUAAUCCCCGUCAGUAUCUCUGCUAAGACCUAGAAAGUUUAUUUGACAGAUAAAACAAUUUGUUCACAAUAAACUCUGUUUUUAAAUGUCUGCACCUAGAGGAAUGUUGAACUGCCGGGGCAUUUUAGAUUUUAUUUUCACUUCACACAGCUUAACGAUGCCAAAUUUGGGCAGUAUUUAUGACAGUUUAGAUCUACCUCCAGAGUCAAGUCCAGAUUUUAUAGUUAGGUACAACAGAUAAUAAAAAACCAAAUGAGGUUCAAAAGGAAGACAGUCAAUAUAAUUUUAUAUAAGAAAUGACAUCAAACAGAGUAAAUUCCUGUUAAAAUGGAAACUUUUGAGACAAGUGACAUUUUGAACUCUCAUUUCAGCUGAACUUCCAAACUGACAGAUGCUGUCUGUAGUGGUGGAUGUGACCAAUCCAUAAUAGUUGUGAGAACCUAACAGAGAACUUUCUGCUACUUUCUCCAACUACCAACAGUAAUACAUUUUUUGCAACAUUUUGCCAUUUUGUUGUUCAUAAGAUUCGCAUCACUCUGCCACAAACAGAAGUAGAUUUGGAACAUAAAAACAAUUGGAAACAGAAUCUCAGCUCGUUACAUAGUUAGCAAUUGGGAGUUAAAUUGCAGGAACAAACAACUGUGUGGGGAAUGUGCUCAUAUAUCCGUUUUCCUGUCUAUAAACAUCAAAAACUACAACAGAAGAAAGAAAAAGGCAACCUACCACACCACAGCCAAAUACGUCAACUUUUUCUGUUAACUGCCCAUGUCUGACAAAAUCUUCUGGCAGGUAAGUAAGAGAAGCUUGCAUGACUUUGGUUUUCAUCAUAGUACAUUCGGACUUUUUAUCAGCAGAGUACAGUCGCAGACCUGAAUGCCCAAGCUUUGGUGUAAAGUUUUCAUCCAGCAAGACAUUUGAGCUGUGGAAGACAAACAACACUGGUCAAGUAAUUACUUUAACUUGAUGUGAAAUUUUGCACUUUUCAAGUUAAAGCAAGGUCUGAGGGGAAAAAAUUCCAGCAUUUGGCCUGCUGUGUAACAGUGAAAGGGUAAAGACUGGGAGAAAGGGAGAGUGGAUUUAAAAAUACUCCAAAUAUUACUUCAGAAGAAUAUACUUCCCUCUUUUAUAAAAGAGAGACAAAUUAAAUGUGAUCAGGUGAAGAUCCUACAGAACAGGAGAUAGCAGAACGACACUGCAAAUGAAUAUUGACAUUAAAAAAAGCUUUCAGGUGCUUCUGUUGAAGAAAUGCUGGAAUUAAUGAGUGCACAGGUAAUGCCAAACCCCUCACCUCUUGAUAUUCCCAUGAAGAAUUCCAAAAUUGUGUAAAUACUCCACAGCUCGGAUGAGUCCCACAGAAAUACUAAGUCGUAUCUCCCACGGCAGUGGAGCAGAAUCAUCCUGCAAGGAAGUAAUGGGGAAAAAAAAGCUCAUUUUAUCUUCUUUUAACAAAGAAAACUAUAUAGCAGCAGUACAUUUUCAUUCUAAAGACUGUUUUGGUUCCACUGCAAUCACAAGCAAAAUGCCAGCUAACCUAAAUCAAAAGUUUUGUCCAAGGCAGAGUUUGUGAUUUCUAGGCCCAGGAAUGAACUACUUCUUGCACACUGUGCUGCAUGUUUUGCCUGCCUUGUGACAACAGUGAGAUAAGGAUACAGCAAAGAUCAUGCUUAUUCAAAGCAUCAAUUAUACGCCAUUGCAGAGGCACUGCACUGGUUUUGAUGGAUUGCUUUUCUGCUCCUUCUGUCAUAUCAUCUCUGCAAGUGCUCUUUCAAUAGGUGUGAACAUCUCAAACUGUUCUCUCUUAAGCCCUUCUAAAAUGUUGUAGAAGGUGAAUGAAAAUGAUGAGAACCACAUUCCCAGUUCCAGUGAAAUAUUAGGACACAGGUUUGUUUUGCAGACUAGUUAUUACUUGAAAAAUCUGAAGGCUGCAAAGCAGAAGCUUUUUAUUGACCUGAUCUGCUUUGCUGUCGUAAAACUGAAAAAGAGCGUAAUUCCUACAGACAACUUAUCUGGGCUCUUCUGGUCUGUUUCUUAGAAUUAUGGGAGAUCUCGUUGCUUUUCAUACAAUAACGUGACUUGUAAUCACAGAUAAAUAAUGGACUCAGGUUAUCUGCUUACUUGAUGCUGAAGUUUGUUCUGUAGUGAUCCAUUAGGCAGGUAUGGAUAUAUCAGGCAGUGCAACUCAGAUUCUACUGUGAAACCUAGCAGCUGCAAAAUGUUGACAUGACAACACCUGCAGGCACAGAUCAACAAUGAUUUACAAAUGAAAUGAGAGCGACACAGGAAAAUGAUUCUUAAGCUGGAAUAAAUCCCUACAUUCAAGACAAUUGGGAAUUACAUUUUGUUCUGUAGCCACAAACACAGAAUGGCCCUGACUGGGUUCACAGAAGGCUACACUAGCAGCAGAGGAGAGACAAGGCAGUUUUGAGCAGCCAGAAGGGAUACAAAGCUUCAGGAGGCACCACACCUUCACCAUCUCCAAAAGUGGCAAGGGGCUGCGCUUGCUUUGCAGGAAACAGCACAUCUCUGGCAGGCAGAUAUGCUGCUUCCCCAGGGCAUAACCCCAGUCCCCAGCAUGGGCCAGUGCCUGGGGGAUACACACAUCAGUGUGACUGAACAGCCCAGGAGCACAGUGCAUGCAGGAUACACAGACUGCCUUCAAAAGUUGACCGCUCACCGAAAGCAAAUCUGUACUUCUGUAUGAAAAAAUCUUUGGGUGGAAUUUGGGCUUGUGCAUUCGGUCUGAAAGAAAAAAAAAAAGAAAACAUGCAAUAGAAUCUCAACAGUAAUUAUUAAGGUGCUGCAUUCGUACGGGCCUUUUACUCUCUAGAUGACAACUUUAGCAAACAGGCUGUUUUCACUGAUGACCAUUUUGUGUCAUAGACAACAACUGCAAAUUAGAACAGAAACUGGUGUGAAAACAUCUCUGAUCCUAUUGUCCAUGCAGGCAGGUACCUCCAGGCUACCCCUACAGAUACAGUGAAAUGAACUCACCACGUGAGUAAAAUCUCACAUAGUGUCUGCUGCAUCUAGGUUUACUAGUGCUAUUUCUCUUUUACUUCUCUUUUUUUAUAGCAGUUCUUGUUCUCUGCCCACAGAAUAUUAAAUGGCAACUGUUUAAGAGAUUCUAAUAAAAUACCUCCUGCAAAGAAAAAGAAGUGGAGCACUUGCCUCUUUCAGUCUUUUGAUGACAUACACCAUGUUGUGCCUCUGACCUUUGUAGACAUCUGCAAAAGUGCCUUCACAAAUUCUAUUCUUGCCACUGAACCCAUCUGUGGCAUUAGUAACUUCUUUCUGAGUCCACAGAAGACUUCCACUGGGGAGAUCAGUCAUCGUCUCCUGCUGAGGAGUAGAAGAGCUGCAGGGCUACAGGUUGGAAGAAGAAACAAGUUAAUCUCAUAAACAUUUGCAUGCUUUCUCCAUCUCUUUCAGGCAUCAUAUUUCUUUUCCAUGAGCUAAAUGAGUGUUGUGAUUGUUGAAAGAAAUUGUGAAAGGUACUGCGCAAUCACUCGGUAUGCUUUCCCUUUGUAACACCUGUGUUGAUUUGUCUUGCUGACAGAAAUAUUCUUCACAGUAGGAACACCUGAAAACAGCUAAUCUGCAUUUCCAUCCUUCCCAAACAACCGAGUUAGUUUUCUUUAGAAGUCCUCAUACGUACUUGAAGUGACAUCAGUUUAAGCCACAAAACCCAUUAAUCUCUAUGCCUGAGGCAUAUAUCAUGGUACUGGAUCAGAAAGGAGUGUUUAUCAUGCUAUAAUGUAUUUAUUUUCUCCUAAGAAUUGCACAGCUCCUUCUGAGGUGGUUGCAAAAUAGUUGCUUCCAGUCAGACAAGUCCUAAUGCCACUUGUUAUUAUAAUUCCACUAUAGCCUACACAUAAUCAUACAGCUUUCACAACCUUAAUUUACUCCAGACCUGAGAAAACAAAACCUUAACUCCCCCUCAGAAAAUUCUGAAACUGCUGUGUUCUCUGUAGCAAUCUUCUCGUACUGCUGUUACUCUUGAACCACAUCACCUUGGACGAGUUAAAAGUCUUAAAGCACAAUCUUCUUUAGGAAAAAAAAUUCAAAUAAAAUAAAAGGAAAAAAGAGGUCAAUACAGGACUAGAAUGAGACCAGAGUGCACACAUGGAUCUGGGAAACACACUCUGAAAAAGUACAGGAUGGUUCCAUCUAGAUGGUCUUGUAGAUAAGAGAGCUAUAGUGAGGAAUAACAGAAGACUAUGUUGAAAUCACCAGGAGCAUGAGAAAAACAGCUCACAGCAGGAUGGCUGAGCCUUGGGAUGGGGCUCAGAGGGAUGGCAGAUUUUCAGUUUUCAACUAGAUAAGGCUCCGGGCAACAUGACCUCAACUUGACACUGGCCCAGUUUUCAGCAAGAACCACAUUUUAAAUUUAAACUAAAAGUGUGACAUUCCAACUAGUCUGUCUGUACUGCCCUAUGAUCCCAUUAGAAAUUUUGGAGUCUGCUGCAAAAUCUAUACUGGAAAUUCCUUCAAGUUAAUUGCUAUUCGUGGGCAUGUUAGCCAUGCUAAGCUAUGUAGCACUGUUAAAUGUAUCCCUCACUAGUCCCUCAUUGGCAAAAAAAGAAAAGAAAAAGAGAAGUGAAGCAAAAUUUAAGUAAUUAGUACUAUAUUCAGUCUAAACAUAAAGUUGAGGAAUAAACUUUAAUUGAAAAACACAGGAUGUCAGAAAGUAAAUUCUUAAUGUUAUAAUCAAUGAGAACUAAAGGGAUUUACCUUCACACUUGAUGAGACAGAAGGAUUUGACUGUAAGGAUUUCAAAAGGUCUCUUGGGGGAGGUGGUGGAGAAGGAAGUGAAUACAAGGUUCCUUCAGAAACAGCAUCUGAAAUUGAAUUAGCAGCACUGAUAAUACACCUCUUUUUUGUGACAUUGCUUCCACUGACUCAUUAUAAGCAUCCAGGAUGCUUUGCUGAAAUGCCUAACCAUGUAUAACCUAUGACAGGCUGUAAAAACAUGAAAUGCCAUAUAAAGACAUGGAGCUAUUGUCCUGGUUCCUCUUUGUGAGAUGACUGUGAAGAUCUCUCCAGCCCUGGAUCAGGGACAUGGAGCAUCCAGAGCCUUUGCCAGCACUGCUGCUCAAAUGCUCUCCUCAGCACAACAUGGUUCUGCUCCCUCUCCCAACAGAGCUGCUUGCUGGUGCAUGCACAGCUCUUCUGUGGCCCAGACUUAUGUUGUAUGGAGAGAGGGACUGGGGGCAUGAAGUGUAUGCACAGAUCCAGUGUAAGCAUGGUGCUGGUGCUCACACAGACCUGGGAGAAGUACUCCUGAGAUCCCACAGCACCUCUCAAAGCCAGGAGAGGUACAGAAAGGAAGAACAGGUGGCUGCAUGAUCAAGCUAGGAAUUGACAGCUCAGGAGACAGUAGUGCUAGGUGAAAGCAAAUAUUCAAUUGGGACCAUUUUGAACAGGAAUGCAUUCAUUUAUACUAAAGUGAAAGUAUAAAGCAUUCUUGUCUAUAUGGUCAUUUCAUUGUUACAGAAAAUCAGAUUAUAUUAUUUUACUUACUACAUGCUGGUGAUAUUCCUGGUUGUGAAAGGUCUGAUGAUGGCAGCAGACUUAUCUCAUUUUCUUUCUCUUUGUGUUUGUUUUCUGUGGGAGUUAAAGAUACGUUCUCUUGUUUAGGUGGCUCUACCAGCUCUUCUUUUUCAGAGGUGCUAAUGCUAGAGGGUGAUAUCCCUGCAAAGGAGAUCAAAGGAAAGGUGAGGAGUACCAUUCAGAAGGAAGUCUGACUCUCAUCAGUUAUCAGAAAGUAAUCUCCCAUUGGGAAAAUGGACUAUACAUUAAAACAAACACUAUAAAUGCUUUACAGUUAUUGUUAAAUUGUUUUGGUAGCACUGGUAUUUAAAUUCAGACUUGAACAGCACAUACAUCUUAAAGGAAAUAUUAAAAUCAGAGUAGGCUACAGCUGGGACAGGAACAAACUGAAAAUAAAAAGAUAUGAAGAUGCUCCGCUGCACAGAGUUGUCAAAACUUCCCAACAAAGCAGCUGAAUUCUGAUCUGUAAGAGAGGUAAACGAGGAUGAGGAGCAGCCUGGAAAUGCUGAGUGUGCACCAGGGAUGACACAAGAACUUUCUAGUGCCUAUUAACCACAUUUUUCUGGUUAUAAUUCCAUACUCUUGUUUCUAUCUGGUAUCUUUUAUCAGCAACAUAGUUCACAUUUACAUAAAAAUAUGAAUUCAUCUUUUGAUAUAAAAGAAAAUAAGCACAAGUACCAAUUCAAGCUUUUUUGUUGUUGUUGUGCUGUUUUAUCAGCUUGUCAUCUUAAGUAAAAGCCACAGCACUGUCUGCAUUUGAAAUCAGACAAUAGCUUUGUAUUCUUCUUUGUGCACAAACAAAGACUUGGUGAUAUCUGAAGCCAAAAGGAAGCCAGAGUUUUCAUUUAGUUUGUGCUCCUCAUAAACCACUUUCAGUAGAAGUGAAGCUUAGAAGGCAAAGUAUGGCAAUUCCAGUGCACUGCAGCUCGGGCUGUAGAUCAGCACGUCUGUGUAGGGCAAGCUUUUUCAUUUGACUUCCUUCUGGAGUUUGUGUAAUUAUUCUUCAGUGACAUGUAUGAACGCAGGUUUGAACAAAACAAUGUUGUUGAACUGAUGCUGAAGAAAAAUCAGCUCUGUUUCUUUGUUAAAGCACUGUUUCUUUGUUAAAUGCUGUGAGAUCACAAACACCGCAGGUUUUGGAAAUCACUGAGUUUCAAGCAGUCUGCAGGCCUUCCGUUCCUACAGGCAGCCCCUGCGUUCUGCAGGGACAUUCCCCUGCCAGUGCUUUAACCUACAAGCCUCUACAAUUUGGAUCACUUCCCUCUUUCAACCUAUUUUUCAGGGUUUUUCAUGAAUUUUGCAACUUCCUGCACACCAGUCAAACAGGUCACCACGGAAACUAAAGAACUAACACAGGAAAAAGUUCGUUCUUACAGAUAUCCAGAAAUGGGACUAGAGUAGUGCAAGAAACCGUCCAAGGCAGAAACAAGAGAAACAGUUCUCCUGCAAGUAAUCUGCCAGCAAAACAUUCACCUGGGUGUCCUGUCUGAGUCUUGUAAGUCGGACUGAACAGUAACACAGUAUGGUGACACAGUAACUGUCGGGAGUUAGAGCAGUGGCUUUUUGAACUGCCCAGCAGAACUGAAAACCAAACCCACUUCGAGCUCCUUGCACCACCCUGCACGGAAUGCUCUGAUUUCACAGAUCCUUCCCUGUCACAAAGGAAACCAGAAACAAAGGUGUGUUUUUUGUUUCUCAGAAGGUGAGUGCAGAUUUUUUCUGAUUAAGCCACAACAUACACGGUGGGAUUACAGAGAAUCAAUGAACACACCAAAUCAAGGAACGCACUGAAGUGAGCCGGCUGCAAACAAAGGCGGGCCCGAGAGCGCUCCGGCCGGGCAGGAACAGCGAUAGCUGCAGGUGCGGCCGGCUGCAGCAUGUACACAGCAGCACCCAGAAACUCUCUGUGGACUGUGAGAUACACAAUGGGCACGGAACAAAAUAGUUACCACAGCGUGGAGGCCACUGGCUACUCCAAAGCAUCUGUAAAAAUAGCAUUAUCGAGGAGCCAGGCGUAUUGUGUUGGAGAUCUCUAGAUCCAGUUUCUUCAGUGGAAGUAAUAUAAGUUGUUUUCAAUCCCAUCCGCUCAGGCUGGACCCUCAGAGCCACAGUUCACAACUGCUUUACUACCAUACUCAUUAAGGCAGAUGAAAAUGCACUUUCCUGUAGCUCCAUUCACUCAGUUGAGGAGUGAGGACAAAGAAUUGUUACCAUCUCCUGAGUGCAGUGACUGAGUUCAGCCUCAGCCGAAGGGUUCUGCUGAACGAAGGGCUGUCACACCCCGCCAGCUCUGCAGAGCAGCACUCCUGGUAGAGUUGGUGGCAAUGGCAUUUCAUUUACAGAGAUGGAAUUUGCUUGAAGCACACUUGCGCUUAAUAUCCCUUUUUAAUCAACAGAAAUUCAGAAUACCCUCCUUAAAGGUUUUUUUUUUUUUUCGUCAUCCUAAAAUGAAGUUUCUAAAUCACACUAACACCAGGAACCCACAAAAAACCCAGCUGUGCUAUAUAAAGAACUGCAGCAGCAAGCAAACUGUGACACAUGGUGGGAAUUUCCAUGAGCAACGCCUCUCACUGAGUGCCAGCUGUGUGUGUGCUGCCAGCCCUGCCCACGGGCAGCUCACAGCAGAACUCAGCCUGCAGCGGCCGCCUCCUCCCCAGCUGUGUGCAGGCAGUGCCCCGCACACCUCCCAUCUCCUGUCAGCGUACACUCUUGUCAGCUUUGCCCAGUUCCCAUGUGCACCUGCACUGCACUUCUCCAAUCACUUUGGGCCACAUAAAUCUGUAACUUUUCUUUCUAGUAACUGUCUAUGGAGAACAGGCAAAAGUCACACAAACACCUCCUUCCCAGGAAAGUUAAAGAGGGGAGUAGGGGCCACUGUCAGCUUACCAGGGCAGCCCAAUACAGGAAGGAUGAACGUCUUGUCCAGGGUUUCACAGACCCGCAACAGAGCUGAGCUAAGGUACCCUCUGGCUUAUGAAAAUGGAUGACUGCCAUUUAAACAUUGGUUUCAACAGAGAAAAAAUUAAAGUUAUAUUUAAAAGUACUGCGACUUCUACAGGGCAAUGGUUUGCCUUAAUUAGAUACAGCGUUUUCAAAGUGUCAUCAACCAAUUCAGAAAAGUAACUGAAAUAUAGCAAAUGGGACACAGGUGAGAAGAACAGCAAGCCGGGCCAAGCACUCCUUUGGGGAACGUCCUCACAGUGCAGGAAAGCAGACUGCAUAGGCAAAACUGCUGAUAGGAUUCUGCCCCAAGUGUGCUGGCAUUUAAUGGAUAAUGGCAAAAUUUCGGUGGGGAACAAGGAUGUAUGAAAAAUUCACAACUCAGCUCCAUGGUGAACAAGGAUGUGUUACAGGGCCACCCCUCAUGCACAGCACAGCCUCACUGGCAGCUCCUGAAGCACCUGAGACACUACAAGUUGGGAUGACAAACCAGACCAGCAAUGCCUCGUCUGUGUCAGCUCUCCCCUUCCCACCACGAGCGGAAAAUAAGAAUCAGCACACUUCACAAUUUGAGCACGAGGUUCCCAGCAAAAAGUUCCUUCAGCCUGCGCAAUGAACACGGGCAGUCUGGGCACAGAGCCCGGCUGCUCACAGGGUGCUACUCACAGUCCAGGAUGACCUGAGCCGCCCGGUAGAGCUGCAGCGCCUGCAGCAGGUCCAGCAGCUGCCGCACGGUCGCCAGCCUCACACCCCACCACCACAUCAGCUCGCGGGUGAUGCUGAUCCCUGUCUUCUCCAUGCAUUUGAUCUUCCGCAGCUCGGUCUGGUCAGUGAUCACGUAGGAGGCGAAGCGCAUCCAGUCGCUGUCGCUGAGGCAGUCCAUCUUCUGGCAGAAGUCCUCCAGCACCCAGGCCGGCAUGCUGUGCACGUAGGGGGACGGCGGCGCCAUCUCCUCGCGGCGCCCCGGCCCGCCCGCGGCCAUCAGCUGCCGCGCGUGGCCCCACGGAGCGCCGGCUGCGGGCGGGCCGGGCGGGAG
rnacentral:lncRNA from 1 species